UAGAUCCUUUCCCGAUCAGGAUCAAGACACGAUGAACUUGCUUCUCCGUCCAACCACACCGCAUCUCCUCCAACUCCUCCAUUUGGUUGAGAAGAGGAGGCCUUGGUAGCGUACAACAUUCCCACCCGCGCGUCCAGAGCCACCGGCACCACCUCCUCCGCCACCUCUGCAAACAGCGGGCUGAACCGCAGCAGGUACGGCUCCCGGCACGUCGUCCCCUCCGGGCACACCGCCAGGCCCCCCUCCAUCGCCAGCAGCCGCCGCAUCGUCGCCGCGUCUCGUCCCCUGUCCCGGGUCAGCCGCACAGUCCGCAUCGGCGCCAACGCCUCCGACACCCGGAUCGUCUCCGCAUCGAUUUUUCGCUCUUUAAUUCUACUGCCAGAUCCUCUGUGAUCGGAUUCGGUUAAGGGUUUCGGUUUGUAGAUCGACUGGUUCUACUGCCAGAUCGUUUUCAUUCAACACAGAGCAUGAAAACGAUCGGCUUAUUUGGGAUUUUCUUCAAAAUCUUGUUUGCUAAAAUGAUCUAGUUGGGAAAAAUAAAGAGUAUAGAAGAAAAUGGAAUUUUCUUUCUUUGUUCUCGAAUAGGGUUUCCGAUUUCCAUCACAUCCGACGGCAGCUAUUUUCCAUUUGGCAUUUCCGUCCAUCGCCGGCAGGCAGGAUCAUGGCCGUCCAAGCCCAGGCGGCCGCCGAAGCGGCGCUUCUCCAAUCGCUGAAUUGCAACAGCACAGUUCCGGUGGCGGAAUUGCUCGCCGCAGCUCGAUUUCUGCUCACGGACCUAGUCAAUAAGAUGCCUGAGGUCCAGCUUGGCCAGAAGAGUGAGUACUUAGAAGAAGAUGGAGACAGGGAUAGCGAUGGGGAUGGCAAGGGAGACAAAGAUGGAGAUUCGGAGGGAGGAGGAGAGGAGCACUCGGAGGAAGACAAUGUGGGCCGUGAAAACCCAAAUGAUGCGAACAGCAAUGAAGCUGCAGGAGGUGAUGAGGAUGAUGAUGGAGGCAAACCAGAUGAGAAUGAAGGGGAAGAGCCUGAAGAUCAGGAUCCCAAUGACAACAAUGAACAAGAUGAUGACGAUGACGACGAUGAUGAUAGUGGUAAUGCUGAGGAUGAGGGGGAAGAGGAGGAAGAGGAGGAAGAGGAUGAUGAAGAAGAGGUUGAAGACAUAAUUCAACGCCCAAAAAAGAGAAAGAAAUGAAUGAUCAAGUUUGACAUUUAGCUACUGUUAUUCACCUUGCUUUGUUCAGCCGUUUUAAGUCAUUAAUCUUGGAGAAUUAUCAUGUAAUGGACCAGAACAAACUUUGAUUUUUGAGAAUAUACAACCUCAUUUUGCUUUCUCAGGUACAGAAGAUCUCUAGAUAAAGUUAUUCCAAAAACAAAUCUUAUGAUCAAUGUGGUUGGGAUAAAAUCUUGGUGAUGGCCAGUUAAUAAAAAGUGACCAUAAAAGGUUGAAAUUUGAUCCUGGCAGAUCAGAUGAUAUCAGAUGAAGGGGGUGGCAUACCAAGAAGUGGUCUUCCAAAGAUUUUCACAUAUCUCUAUAGCACUGCUAAAAAUCCACUCGAGGAAAACGAUGAAGGAAGCUCAGAUGGAGUAAUUAUGGCUGGUUAUGGUUAUGGGCUUCCAAUUAGUCGUCUCUAUGCUCGCUAUUUUGGUGGUGAUUUACAAAUUAUCUCUAUGGAAGGAUAUGAUACACAGAUGGAAGGACUGGUUAAAGGAUACGACAUCGGCUGAGUAUGCCUUCACGACUAGUAUAUAUAUGUUCACUAUUCUAUGUUUUUUUGUCCCAGAUUUGCAUCCUUGGAUCCUAGUUUGAGUGGUAAAAGUGCAGAACCAGUAUAUCGUGAUGCAAAAGGGAAAGCUAUUUCAAAGGAAGAGCUACUGAAACCAAAGGAGGAAGAGAAACCAAAGUUUACGAAUCUCAAGUACUCCAGAGUUGAAA